rnacentral:rRNA from 1 species
GGGGGUGACAGCGUGCCUUUUGCAUAAUGAACCUACGAGUUGCCGUCACUGGCAAGGUUAAGCCUUUAAGAGGCGCAGCCGAAGCGAAAGCGAGUCCGAACAGGGCAUCUAGUCAGUGGAGGCAGACGCGAAACCAAGUGAUCUACCCAUGGCCAGGAUGAAGGACGGGUGACUCCGUCUGGAGGUCCGCACCGAUAAGCGUUGAAAAGCUUACGGAUGAGCUGUGGGUAGGAGUGAAAGGCCAAUCAAACUUGGAGAUAGCUCGUACUCCCCGAAAUGUAUUUAGGUGCAGCCUCACGUUAAGAGAGAUGGAGGUAGAGCGACCGAUAGGAUGCGAGGGCUUCACCGCCUGUCAAGUCCUGCCGAACUCCGAAUGCCAUCGUCUUUGCUACGUGGGAGUAAGGGCGCGGGUGCUAACGUCCGUGUCCGAGAGAGGAACAACUCAGACCACCAGCUAAGGUCCCGAAAUCCGGGCCGAGUUGAAGACAAUAACGAAGUGUGAUCGCAGAGACAGCCAGGAUGUUGGCUUGGAAGCAGCCAUUCAUUUAAAGAGUGCGUAACAGCUCACCGGUCGAGCGGUCGUGCGUGGAUAAUAAUCGGGCAUAAGUCCGGUACCGAAGCUGUGGAAUCGUGUGCUAGACACGCGGUUGGUAGGGGAGCAUUCCGGUUAGCGUUGAAGCAGUGCCGUGAGACACCGUGGAGCAACCGGAAAAGCAAAUGUAGGUAUAAGUAACGAUAAUGAGGGCGAGAAACCCUCACGCCGAAAGACCAAGGUUUCCUGAUCAACGCUAAUCGGAUCAGGGUCAGUCGGGACCUAAGGCAAAGGCUAAGGCCGCAGCCGAUGGAAGAGACGGUUAAUAUUCCGUCACCGACAAGUACUGCGAAGGAGGGACGGAGAAGUGACACGCCCGCGGGCUGACGGAAUAGCCCGUUAAAGUGGGGUAGACGUAGACGGUUGAGUAAAACGCUUGCCGGAGUCGAGCCAUGACAGUACCGAGCGCGCUACGGCGCAAUCGGACAGCGGCGGUAAACAUGCUUCCUAGAAAAGCUUCUAAGCUACAGGUACUUGUUGCCCGUACCGUAAACCGACACAGGUGGUUGGGUUGAGUAUACUAAGGCGCUCGAGAGAUUCAUGGUUAAGGAACUAGGCAAAUUGACCCCGUAACUUCGGGAGAAGGGGUUCUGGCCGCAAGGUCAGACGCAGAGAAUAGGUCCAGGCAACUGUUUAACAAAAACACAGGGCUGUGCUAAGUUGAAAGACGCGGUAUACAGUCUGACACCUGCCCGGUGCCGGAAGGUUAAGAGGAGGUCUCAUCGCAAGAGAAGGUCUGAAUUGAAGCCCCGGUAAACGGCGGCCGUAACUAUAACGGUCCUAAGGUAGCGAAAUUCCUUGUCGGGUAAGUUCCGACCUG